rnacentral:rRNA from 1 species
UGGGGAAUAUUGCACAAUGGGCGCAAGCCUGAUGCAGCAACGCCGCGUGCAGGAUGAAGGCCUUCGGGUUGUAAACUGCUUUUGUACGGAACGAAAAGGCUCUGGCUAAUACCUGGGGCACAUGACGGUACCGUAAGAAUAAGCACCGGCUAACUACGUGCCAGCAGCCGCGGUAAUACGUAGGGUGCGAGCGUUAAUCGGAAUUACUGGGCGUAAAGCGUGCGCAGGCGGUUUUGUAAGACAGAGGUGAAAUCCCCGGGCUCAACCUGGGGACUGCCUUUGUGACUGCAAGGCUGGAGUGCGGCAGAGGGGGAUGGAAUUCCGCGUGUAGCAGUGAAAUGCGUAGAUAUGCGGAGGAACACCGAUGGCGAAGGCAAUCCCCUGGGCCUGCACUGACGCUCAUGCACGAAAGCGUGGGGAGCAAACAGGAUUAGAUACCCUGGUAGUCCACGCCCUAAAACGAUGUCAACUGGUUGUUGGGUCUUAAUUGACUCAGUAACGAAGCUAACGCGUGAAGUUGACCGCCUGGGGAGUACGGCCGCAAGGUUGAAACUCAAAUGAAUUGACGGGGUCAUAGCUGUUUCCUG